GUCCUUGUCAUUGUACGACUGGCCUUCUAAUGUGCAGCUAUUGAAAAAGCCUACAAAUGAAAGACCAAGAGGAACACGUAGGAUGACCUAUUAUGAAGUUUUACCAUGUGGAACUUUCAGAAAAAGGAGCCACAUGGAGCUUUGUGGUUGGUGUCUGGAAGAGUUCAGACUGGCGGUUAGGGUGGACACAUGUUGGACCAGUACACCAUAAAAAAGACAGCACACUGUGUGAGAGGGACAGCGGCACUGAAUGUCAUUAUUCAGCCAUGCAAAUGCACAAUUCAUAUGUUAAUGGAAUUGUGGGUAAUAUGGUAUAUUAAAUACAUUUUGUUUA